GACGAACGCUGGCGGCGUGCUUAACACAUGCAAGUCGAACGGAAAGGCCUCUUUCGGGGGGUACUCGAGUGGCGAACGGGUGAGUAACACUUGAGUAACCUGCCCUUGACUUUGGGAUAACUUCAGGAAACUGGGGCUAAUACCGGAUAGGAGCUCCUGCUGCAUGGUGGGGGUUGGAAAGUUUCGGCGGUUGGGGAUGGACUCGCGGCUUAUCAGCUUGUUGGUGGGGUAGUGGCUUACCAAGGCUUUGACGGGUAGCCGGCCUGAGAGGGUGACCGGCCACAGUGGGACUGAGAUACGGCCCAGACUCCGACGGGAGGCAGCAGGGGGGAAUAUUGCACAAUGGGUGGAAGCCUGAUGCAGCAACGCCGUGGGCGGGAGGACGGCCUUCGGGUUGUAAAACGCUUUCGCUCAUGACGAAGCUUUGUGUGACGGUAGUGGGUAAAGAAGCACCGGCUAACUACGUG
rnacentral:rRNA from 1 species